GAUGGACGCUGGCGGCGUGCCUAAUACAUGCAAGUCGAGCGAACAGACGAGGAGCUUGCUCCUCUGACGUUAGCGGCGGACGGGUGAGUAACACGUGGAUAACCUACCUAUAAGACUGGGAUAACUUCGGGAAACCGGAGCUAAUACCGGAUAAUAUAUUGAACCGCAUGGCUCAAUAGUGAAAGACGGUUUUGCUGUCACUUAUAGAUGGAUCCGCGCCGCAUUAGCUAGUUGGUAAGGGAACGGCUUACCAAGGCAACGAUGCGUAGCCGACCUGAGAGGGUGAUCGGCCACACUGGAACUGAGACACGGUCCAGACUCCUACGGGAGGCAGCAGUAGGGAAUCUUCCGCAAUGGGCGAAAGCCUGACGGAGCAACGCCGCGUGAGUGAUGAAGGUCUUCGGAUCGUAAAACUCUGUUAUUAGGGAAGAACAAAUGUGUAAGUAACUAUGCACGUCUUGACGGUACCUAAUCAGAAAGCCACGGCUAACUACGUG
rnacentral:rRNA from 1 species